CUCGUCCCUUGCAGUCGGGCGCGCGCGAGCGUCCUGGGAGAGCGAGUUGCCUGUGGCUGGGAGCGCGAGGCUUCAGCCUGCGGCGAGGAGCAACUGGCCUCCCACCGCUCGCGAGUCGGGGCGCCCUCGGAGCGACCCGUGCUCUCCGGGUGUGGACUCUCAGCCUCGCAGGCUCUUACCUUUCUGGCCUCCUGAGGGUCGCCAUAGCCCGGCGAAGCCCGGGGGAUUCACUUGACGCAAAAGUCCUAAGCGCAGUCCGCGCCGGUCUGGGGGACCUGUGAUGCUCGUGUAGGCUCUCGCCUGCCCGGAACGUCUACACUCCGUGUUCAGGCCUUGUCUGUCCUCCAGGAAGCCUCACCUGCUGCUGGCUACAGUACACCUGUAUUGGGCCCUAUUCUGAGAUGUCCCGGCUCCAGGAGGCGUUAAUGAGACAGGUGCUGGUGGCAGGAUUUCCCGAGCCGAGCGGGCUUUCACGUUGUGUCACCAGAGUCUCGAUCUGGGUUGAUUGGGACUUUGAGCUUCUCCCUGGAAGAGAUAAGGAGACCUAUAUGUUGACCCAUGUGCCCACCCCCAUGGACUUCCAAGACUUCCAGGAUGGAUGCGAUUUCUUUUCUGGUGAUUUAAACUCUUCCUACUCCAGUGUCUUCAGGCCUGGCCUGCAACCAAGCAAGGAGGGCCAACGGUCCCUCUGCGUCUGUACGGGGCAGGAGGAAGGAAGAGCGGAAGCUACAUGUCACCCAAGAAGAGUCUUCAACAUCAUCCCAACUCUCAGAGUCUCAGCAGCAGAGGGGUUAAAAGCUUUCAGACACUUGGCUGUAUACAUAAGUACCAGCUUAAAGUCUCGAAUGAUAAGGUGCAUGAUAAACCCCCAAGGGUGAAAGUGGGUGAUGCCUCUGAGUGCAGAAAACAUGGCAGUGACCAGUGUUCACUAUUUCCACUGCCUAAUUUGAGGCUGGGCUAGACAAGAAGUUGAUGAAUGAGUAAGCCAGCACUCAAUGCAAUAACAGGACUGUUUUUCCUAUUCCACACCACAGCAGAUUGCAGGUUCCUAUCUUCAUCCUCUGAUUUUAUUCCUACUUGGGACAUACUGCUCCUUAAACAGUAUUAACAAUACAAUAACAAUCUCAUGCAAAUUGGAUUACCUGUGACCAGCUAUUACUUCUCACCACUAGAUGGCAUCUAUCAAUAGGGAGGGGUCAAGAGCUCCACACAUAAUCUGCCAAGUAAUAAUUCUUGAGAAAUCAAUACAAGAAAACAUUUAUAUCCACUUAUAUAUGUAUGGAUUCACUUCUUACGUGUGAUUUCUUUUUAAUAAUGGCUAUGAAUCUACAGCCUACAGCCGCC
rnacentral:lncRNA from 1 species